rnacentral:lncRNA from 1 species
CUAAAAUGGCUUGCGUGGAGGUGGGAAGUAAGAAGUUUGAAAUUUUGGAGUUCCCAUAUGUUGUUUGCCAAUUGCAUACUCUUCCAAAUAAAGUCAGCAGGAGGAGAGGAUGUUGGUCUAAUUAGCAGCAAAAGAAUCUACCAUCUCCUCAGCACCUGUCACUGCGGGCUCAACUCUGCCGCCUGGUGGCUGGGGACAGGAAAUGAAUGUUGGAGUGCCCCUGCAUUGCUUCUGUGUAUAGUCAUGUCAUAUUUAUAUGGACACUAGAGGGUGCUCAGGGCACACUCAUGCUCAUACUAUGCUUGAAGCCAUACAACAAACCUGGGUCUAAAGAAGGCCAGAGGUGAGAUUUUCUGUAGUCUUAGAUGCUUAAAGACAAGUAUGAUCUGUUAAAAAAAUAUAUAUGUUAAAAAUGUGUUAUUCUUAGAAAGACAAUAAUUUGCAAUGUUUUCUUGUACUUUUUCCCAAGAUGACGUUCCAACCUGCAAGAAAAUUCAAUGGGAUUUCUGAAAUCAACAUCAAAGACCAGAAACUCAUGUUGCCUGCUCCUGGAAGCAAAUGCCAAGACCACAUAUGAAACCUCUGUCCCCUUUAGGGGUCAUGAAAAAAGCAAGAUGUGGAACUCCCAUUCAUUCACAAAUGCUAGGAGACAUUUUACUGUCCUUAUUUACAACAGCAAAACAAUAAGCCAAUACACAGCUAGAAUACGCAAGGGAUUAAACUUUACUCAGCUGUGGCUAGAGAGGGGUCUUGUUAACCUCAGAGGUUACAAAUUCUGUAAUCUAGAAGGAUAUUGUUUUAAUGAUUAUCUGAUUCAGAAAAAGAUGGGGCCGGAUUAUUGUGAUUUAAGGAAUUUGGAGAAAUUUCAGUGCGUAAAGUCUAAGGUGUAGAGUCUGAAGCUGAACAUAGAGACACAAAAGACUACAUUCGCAAGCUAUUGUUAAGCACUACAAUAUUGUGUUACGUUCACAAAUUCCAUUAAAGCAUUAGGUUAACCAUGUCCAGAAACUGUGUCAAUUUCUCUGUGCUCAAAGGCAUUUGGGAUUGACCAUCACACAGUAAAAAACAUGUAUUCUGAUGAAUUUGUAGACACCAUGUUCUCCAGACCAAAGACAAAAAGGACCACCCAGACUGAUAUCAGUAAGCCUAAGCAAAAGUUAGGGUCUGUCAUAGUAUCAGAUUGUCUCAGUACACUUCUGUAAAGGCAGCAUUAAUGCAGAAAUGUACAUUGAGUUCUUACAGCGACACAUUUAUAUUACAUUACAUUUAUAUUACAAAAACACAAGCUGCACACAUUACAAAGACAUGGCUACAAAAAAAAGAAUAGGUACAGCUAUUGAACUGGAUUGCCUUCUGUCCUGACCUGUCCCUAAUACAGAAUGUGUGGAGAGGUUGUUGUGCGGAGGGAUGGCUACCUUAAAUACCGUCAGAUGCGUUACCUUCUCAAUUCUGCUGGAAUCUGUUGCAGGCCUGUAAUGCAGGAAUGGUAUGCAUGUUAAAAGAUUAAAUUAAGCUAACCAGAAUAGUUUUAUUUGCAACUUUUUCUGAUAUUAUGCUGUAGAAGAUGACAUGCACAGAUAUUGAGUCUGAAGUCUAUAUAGAUAUACUUCUCUGGAAAAAAAAAUAAGAGACCGCUUCAGUUUCUGAAUCAGUUUCUCUGAUUUUGCUAUUUAUAGGUAUAUGUUUGAGUAAAAUGAACAGUGUUGUUUUAUGAUACAAAACUCAAACAACAUUUCUCCCAAAUUCCAAAUAAAAAUAUUGUCAUUUAGAGCA